UAUUCCGAGUUCCAAAUAGUGCCUCGUUUAGUCUUUAUAAUAGCACUAGAAAGUAGGUAUUAUUAUCUUGGUUUUAUAGAAGCAUGAAAUGACACUCAAAAAUGCUAAUACCACAUGAGACCACAUUCCUGGUAAGAGCAGCGCUUUGGUUUAACCCCGUCUGGCUCUGGAGCCGUGGGCAUAAUCGUUAUGCCACGCUCUCUAGAAGAAAGGAGAUGCUUUGCUCCGUGUCAUGUGACACGUUCCCUCACAGCAUCCGGUGCAGCCCUUAGCCUGGGACAGCUUGGAGCAGACUUUACACUGCCCAUCCUCGUCAGACAGCGAGCGCUCCAUCGCUUGAUUUUCUUCCCCCGUGGGCUUGUCACAGCCUGAAUCUUAGUGGGCGCUCAGUCCUAGGACGGGAUUUCAAGCCCUGUGCUGCUCACCUAGUGCCCUUUAUUCCCCCAUCCUACCUGCAGGCGCCAGACCACUGCCGGCCCAGGGAGGCCCAGGAGGAGGGUGUAGCAGGGCUGGCACCCUGUGCCCUGUAUCCUAAUGAGGGACGUUGCAGGGUGGCCGUGGAUACUGGGUUAGACAGAGUCAGGUUAUGGCUCUGCAGCUUCUAGCUGUGUCAUCAUGGGAAAGUCCCGUCGCCGCUCUGAGCCUCGGUGUCCUCUCUGUAAAAUAGCAGUGACCCAUCCAGUGAGGUUGUUUGGGGCAUUAGAAUGAUAGGGGUUUAAAAUGCUUAACAAAAUACUUGGCACCAUGUAAUUACCCAGACAGUGGUAGAUACUAUUUGUAGUAAGGUUGCUUUUUAUUCUUAUUGUCAUUAUGUCUCAGGCUGUUUGUGACCUCAUGUAUCUGCAGAACCUGCUGUCUGUAAGAGGAGGGCCUAAAACUCUGGGAGUCAAGAGAGGGCUUACUGCAGUGGUGACCUACAAGUCAAGAGAGCAGAUGCUCGCCAGGUAUCGUCUCUGUGCAGCUCAAGAGCAGUUACCGUUCCUGAGAGCCGUGAGGUACUGAACCAGCCACAGUGCCACAGGUUUCCAUCCCAUCGGCCACGGCAUGGACAGUGCCCGCUGCCUGGCACCAGGUACCUGGUCAACGAUUCUGAGUUAGAUGAAUGAACGGACUCCACUGGUGGCUGAGUGGCACCUGUGACCCCUGAAGGUUGGGCCAGUUUGGUUUCUUGUAGUAUAAAUAUUUAGAAUAUGACUGUUAUUAUGGUUUUUGGCAAGGGCGAAUUACUUACUCAUGGUCAUGGCCUUGAACCUAGCCAAACUGUGAGCCGGCCCCAGAAUAAACUGUAUUCAGCUGCUGGUUUCACAGCCAAAGGGAAACUGACUUUCCAUUGACCCCUGAGCCAGGUCUGAUUGUGCAAAAUUUUUUUUAUACAAACCGGUAUUUAGCAAAUGUUGUCAAACCGGAUGCUUCCUUGCGUUUUCUUUUUUAAAACCCUAAACUAGAACGAAAUUAGACCCUAUAUCAUCCUUGUUUGUAUUAUUGCACAAUAUAUUAAAAUAAUGUUAGCUAACACUCGCAGGGCACUACUCUGUGCGAAGUGCAUUAUCUCAUUUAGUCCUCAAAUAAACCUAUGAAGUAGGUACUAUUUUUAUUCCUGCUUUACAAGUGAGGAAAGUUCAACAGCUAAGUAACGUUUGCCAAGGUCGCACAGCCAGCCGUGAGACGUCAAGGUGGACGUUUGAACCCAGGUCGGCUGGCUUCCUCAGCAUCGGUGACAGCACAUUUAACGAGCACGUGUUACGUGGCAGUCACGUGUGGGCCGAGUAUUUUGCACGUUAACCCCUAUAGCAGUGCUGUCUGCAGUGUACCAUAUCAGCUUCAUUUUAGGGAUGAGGAUGCAAAGCAGUAAACAAAUCUAAAAAAUUUUUUUUAUUUUGUGCUUUCUAGAGCCACACCAUACCUAGGGUGGAAUGGGAGCUGUAGCUGCUGGCCUACACCACAGCCACAGCAAUGUGGGAUCUGAGCUGUGUCUGCGACCUACACCACAGCUCACAGCACCGUUGGAUCCUUAACCUACUGAGUGAGGCCAGGGAUCGAACCUACAUCCUCAUGGAUACCAGUUGGGUUCGUAACCUGCUGAGCCAUAGUAGGAACUCUAAAGCUUUUGAAAAAUUAUGUAACCUGCCUGUAAUUUGUGGCUAGUGACGCCACGGUGUAUUCCUCUAAACGGCGGAGCUCAGAAAACUCUCAAGGGCAACAAAGGGGGAGAGUUUACCAAGGUCACACUGUGUGUUGGUGGUUGAACUGGGUCAGUGUUCCACUGGUGGUUUUUCCCGGUCACUGCUAGCAGGGUAUUGAUGCAGUAACCAGCCCUACGGCCAGCCCACCGUGUCCCUUGCCCCAGUGGCAGGAAAGAGUGCCCAGUGGAUUAGAGCAUACACUUUGGAGUCAAACAGACCUAUGUUCAAAUCACAGCUCCCAAGCUAACUUGCUGGCUGACCUUGAGAACGACCCUUCCUCUCUCUGAGCCUAUGUCCUCUUCUGCAAAAUGGAACAGUAACCUCGCUCAUUUCCUGGGGUUGCUGGAGGAGUGAGUGCGAGAAGGCACAUGGGGUGUCUGUCCAGCGAGGCCACCCAGUUGAUGUGGACUAAGCCGUGACCUUGUCUCUGAAAUGAUCCAUGAGCUGAAAGAGCUUUGCAGCUGCCGUUCCACAUAAAGAAGCCCUGAAAUCUGCUUCACGGCGAUGACGUAGGCUGGGAAGGAGGCCAGAGGCCGCAGGGUGUCUGACUCUGGAAGAGACCCACACGCAAAUAGGCACCUCGCACCUGGCCACACACACCCUUGUGAGACGUAGGUGCACACAUUGUGUACACGUGCAUGUGCACAGGGGGAUGCUCACACAGGAUGCGUGCCGUAGAUAUGCUCACAUAUAGAUAUGCACAUGCUCACACGUCUGCGUGUGCCCACACGCGUGCGCACCCACACUUCCCGUGUACACAUACUUCCUCCUCUUUGCCUGGUUAACACUUACUCCUUCCGCCUCCACCCGCAGGUCACUGCCUGGGGGCAGCCGCCCUGAGCCCCUCAGCUUGUGUUCCCUUGGCCUCCUGCAUUUUCCCCCUUCCGUUUGCAUCUUAAUUGUCAUUGAACAAUUGUGUAACAAGCUGCUUAAUUCUGGAUUUUCUACUAGACUCUUAUCUCUGCAGAGGGCAGGGACAAAGCCUGACUGUUCUCCAAUGAUGGAAAGCUCCUAGCACAGCCUAGCACAUAGUAGGCCUUUGACAGAUACGUGCCAUUGUUUUUUUUUUUUUUUUUUCUUUUUCAAGGGCUGCAUCUGUGGCACAUGGAGGUUUCCAGGCUAGGAGUCAAAACAAAGCUGCAGCUGCCAGCCUAUGCCACAAGCCACGGUAACGCGGGAUCCCAGCUGCGUCUGUGACCUACACCACAGCAACAGCAAUGCCGGAUCCUUAACCCACUGAGCAAGGCCAGGGAUCAAACCCCCAUCCUCAUGGAUCCUGGUCACAGUGCGACUUCCGACAAACAUGCGCCAUUGAUUGAACAGAACCUCAGGGAUCCCUUUUGGGUGCAGGCAGGAGAGCAGCCUCUUCACUGUGGGCUGCCUUGUACGGAUUUCUGGCCUUGGGUCUGUGGGAGGUUUUAGGCUCAGCCAGAGAAACCCACCCUCACAAUGUUGCGGAGGCUGGCGAGGAAGAAAACGCAGUCGCCAGGAAAUCGCGUGUCAGUGGUGAAGGGAUGUCCAGGAAGCCCGAGGGCAGAGAGCUCCUUGUCGCUUCUCGCUUGCUUUCCCCCGGGAGGCGAGGGACACCACAACUGCCCCAGGUGACAAGGCUGACCAGUCGCUGCCUGGGCUGGCACAGGGCGGCCUCCCUUGCCUCAGGCCAGAUGAGGGCGGUAAGCAGGCGUCUUCAGGGCAGAGAGAGGGCGGAGGAUGAUGCUCUGGUGGGAGUGAGAUGCAGUGCUGGGUGGCUGGAGGAGAUUUCCUUCCUUUAUUUAUCAAAGGAGUACUUACGGACACCUUCUAAGUGCCAGGCACUGUGCCAGCUGCUGGAGAUACAGGAGAAAGUGAGUUAUGUGUGGCCUUGGACCUCCGGGUGCUCAAAUCUUACGGGCGAUGUGGAUAAGAAACCAGACCAUCCCCAUGCAGUGUGGUCCAGGCUCCCCAGGGGAGCUGAGACGCAGGCCUCCUAAGGAGGGUGGGAGUGGCUUAUGGAGGAGAGGGUUUCUGAGCUAAGGCCUAGAGAAGGAGCCAGGCCAGGAGACGCGGAAAGAGUGCUGUGAGUGGAGAGAAGGGUUUGUGGGCCGGCCCCAAAGGGAGAGAGGGCACAUGGCAGGAAUCCAGCGUGGCAGUGGCUGGCUCGUCCCGGUGGGGUGGCCAUAAGCUGGGGAGGAGCGGCAGCCAUCAAAGGAGGCUGAGCAUCUGGGAGCAGUGAGGUCCUGCAACCUGAAGAGAGGGGACAUGGGGAAGGAGCCUUGCUGUUCACUGGACAUGACCUUGCCUUCUCUGGGCCUGUUUUCUCACCUGUCACGUGGACAGGGGGGCUCGGUGACGGCCCACAUACUUUCCCAAGGCUGCUGUCUAAGCUCCCGUCAGGCCGGGUGAACCCUGUGCGUCCCCCCUUCCCCACCCCUGUGCUCUCUGCCGCCUCCCAUCCUGCCCCACAUCCUCUCUGUCCUGUGCCGUCCACCCUGGCCUCUUCCUCUGCCACUCCUCAGAAGCCGUGUCUCGUAGGAGCACCUCCUUGAUGGGGUGAUCAUGUCACCCACUUUUCCAUCCUCGUCCUGUGCCCUUCUCCGCACCGCACCUGAACUUCUCUCUCCAGCUCCCAGAGCUGUUUCUUGUCUGGAAUUCUCAGCCUCCUCCCUCCCCUCACCACGUCUCACUUUUGUCUUGCCAAUCCUUCCAGUUCCAGCUAAGCCCUUUCUUCAGCGAAGCCCUCCUCUAGGGGCCCAGCGCCUGCCCCGUGCUGUGUUAACACUCUGCCUCCUUCCCAGCGCUCGCAGGGCGGUACGAACGUGGUCGUGUGUGAUGACGGAUGCCCACCCCUUCCGAGACAGAAGCAGGGGCAGGGGGCGAAGCACAUGUUUAGUAGGUUCUGGGUGGUGAGUUGAGUGGAUAAGUGGCUGUCAGUGGAUUUAAUGCCUUUCAUACAUAUAUAAGUUAUUAACUAUGCUCAGGCCAGGACUGUAAACUGAAACUUCGUUCAUCAGUUCACAAAGUAGAGUGACAUGUUUUGCCACUAGAGGGCAUCGUGAAACCGUAAAGUUGGGGGUGAGCCUCAGGGACCCUGGCCUCUUUUUGAGUUGACGUGUAAAGUUCAGUCACUUUGUAUUCUGUGUCCACUCAGGACACAUCAAUUAAAAUUUUAAAAAAUGUGUAGACCCUUAUGAGUUGGAAGGCUUGCCAGAGCCUGUUUGGUCCCACCCUGGACACUUGAGACCUGAGGGAGAGUGAGUUCCCCUGCCUUCAUUGGCCCCAGGACACCGAUUUGUUCCUGGCUGUGGGAAAAUCCCUCUUUUUCAAUAUUCCUUUUUUCCUAUUAUGUAGGAGAAACUGUUCUAACUCCUGUCUCUUUCAAUCCAUCCAAUAAAUAUUUACUGACUUUCCACCGUGCGAUGGGCACUGUGUUAGGUGCUAGUAUUUCUAGUUUGCAAAACAGGCCUCUGUCUCAUGGAGUCCACUGUCUGGUUGGGAAAAUGAAUAUUGAAAAGUAAUAUAUAGAUACUAUCUGUGAUUAGUGCAAAAUGAAAGUCAGAGCCUGAGGACAGGACAUAACAGAGCUCCUGCCUCUUUCUUGAGCUCCCUCUUGGAGGAGGGCCAUUUGGCAGAAACCCAGAGGCUGAGCAGCCACUGGCAGAGGGAUCAGAAGGCCAGGUUUCCACCCUGGAGUUCCCUGGUGGCCUGCUGGUUCAGGAUCUGCUAUUAUCACUGCUGUGGCUCACAUUUGAUCCCUGGCCUGGGAAUUUCUGCAUGCCAGAGGGGUGACCAAAAAAAAAAAAAAAA
ensembl:lncRNA